ensembl:lncRNA
ACACUGCCUGGCUCUUGCGAUCUACUACUCUCUCUGCCUCUUUUUCGGAAUCCACUGCGCUGCCUGCCUCCUUUUCGCACUAUACUGUGCUGUCUGCCUCUUUCUCGGACUCUUCUAUGCUGCCUGCCUCUCUUUCUGCAUCUACUACUCCACCCGCCUCUUCCUGCAAUCCACUGCACUGCCUGUCUCCCUUUGGAAACUCCUCCUCAGCCUGCUGCUUCUUUGGAACACCCUACGCCACCUGCGUCUGCUCUGCAACAUCCUACGCCGCCUGCGUCUGCUUUUCAAUACGCUAUACCAGCUGCGGCUGCUUUUCAAUAUUCCAUGCCACCUUUCCCUUCUUUGGAAUGUACUACGUCACCUACCUCUGCUCUGGAAAAUACUACACCACCUCUCCCUCGUAUGGAAUAUGCUAUGCCACCUGCCAUUGGUAUGGAAAAUACUAUGCUGCCUGCCACUUCUGUGGUACAUCCUAUGCUGCCUGCGCCUGCUUCGGAGCAUCCUGCGUCACCUGCCACUGCUACGCAGGAUCCUACGGCGCCUGCCACUUCUACAGAAGAUCCUACGGCACCUGCCACUGCUAUGGACUCUACGACACCACCUGCCUCUUGUAUGGACCAUACUACGCCACCUGGGUCUUCUGUGGAAUAUAACACGCCGCCUGCCUCCUUUGGCAAUAUACCACGGCACCUCGCUCUUUUUAGAAUAUACCAUGCAGCCUGGCUCCCUUUGCGCCAUACCACUCCGCCUGGCUCACUUUGGGACUUACCACGCUGCCUGGCUCACGUUGGCAUACACCACGCCGGCUGGCACUGCUUGGAACAUGUCACGUCACCUGGCUAUUUUUGGCAUAUACAUGGCUACCUGGCUCUCCUCAGAAUACACCACGCUGCCAGGCUUUCUUUGGACGAGAGUGCAGCGCCUGGCUCUCUCUGGACUAGAGUACGCCAUCUGGCUCUCACUCAGAUACAGUACACCACCUGACUCGUUCCAUUGAAUAAAUAAUGUCUUUU